rnacentral:rRNA from 1 species
UACGGGGGGAGCAAACGUUGUUCGGAAUUACUGGGCGUAAAGGGCUCGUAGGUGGCCAACUAAGUCGGACGUGAAAUCCCUCAGCUUAACUGGGGAACUGCGUCCGAUACUGGAUGGCUCGAGUUUGGGAGAGGGAUGCGGAAUUCCAGGUGUAGCGGUGAAAUGCGUAGAUAUCUGGAGGAACACCGGUGGCGAAGGCGGCAUCCUGGACCAAUAUUGACGCUGAGGAGCGAAAGCUAGGGGAGCAAACGGG